rnacentral:misc_RNA from 1 species
GAUGAAGAACGUAGCGAAAUGCGAUAAGUAAUGCGAAUUGCAGAAUUUCCGUGAGUCAUCGAAUCUUUGAACGCACAUUGCGCCCGUCAGUAUUCUGGCGGGCAUGCCUGUUCGAGCGUCAUUACGCCCCUCAAGUCCCCUGUGGACUUGGUGUUGGGGAUCGGCGAGGCUGGUUUUCCAGCACAGCCGUCCCUUAAAUUAAUUGGAGGUCUCGCCGUGGCCCUCCUCUGCGCAGUAGUAAAACACUCGCAACAGGAGCCCGGCGCGGUCCACUGCCGUAAAACCCCCCAACUUUUUAUAGUUGACCUCGAAUCAGGUAGGACUACCCGCUGAACUUAAGCAUAUCAAUAAGCGGAGGA